rnacentral:rRNA from 1 species
UACGUAGGGGGCAAGCGUUGUCCGGAAUCAUUGGGCGUAAAGAGCGUGUAGGCGGCCCGGUAAGUCCGCUGUGAAAGUCCAGGGCUCAACCCUGGGAUGCCGGUGGAUACUGUCGGGCUCGAGUCCGGAAGAGGAGUGUGGAAUUCCUGGUGUAGCGGUGAAAUGCGCAGAUAUCAGGAGGAACACCAAUGGCGAAGGCAGCUCGCUGGGACGUUACUGACGCUGAGACGCGAAAGCGUGGGGAGCAAACAGG